CCACUUUUACAAUAUUUUUAUUUUAAAAAAGCUUUAGAACACCCAACAUGUUUUACCGAUAAAGGUGGCCUUAAUAUUUAUACAAAAAUCAAAGAUAGAAUAUGCAUUAUGAGUAAAGAUAUCAGAUAACGUGGGUGCUUCACUUAUUUGCCAGCGCAGUCGUUGACUAGGUUUGAUCUAGAGAGGCGACGCGCCUCUAUGCUUUGAUCAUGAGACUUCUUUGUGACCAUGAGACUUUGACCACAGUGGUGUAUAUUAAAUAGGCUUAAAUUUACCUAAGGUGUAUAUUAAUUAUGUAGUAUCAGACUACAAUAUAUCCACAUUUACGUGCAUUAACUUCCUCUAUCUUUUUUAAAAUAAAGAAAAAAGAAAAUGUGAACAUGCCAAA